rnacentral:lncRNA from 1 species
UUCCAUUUGAUAAGGCUAUCAUCAUAUCAUUAGUUUUGUUGUCGAUCGCUUUAUCAAUCAAUUACACACGUAAAUUAACACAAGACAUGCCCAAGCUUUGUUCGAUAUGUAUGAUGGAGUAUUCUCUGUGGUCAGUUAAUUAUGAAAUGAAAAUAGGCAUUAAAGUAGUCCAGUCCAGUCCAGUCCAGAUUACACUGUUCAAG